GUGUCAGCAGCCGCGGUAAUACGAAGGGCCCAAGCGUUGAUCGGAAUUACUGGGCUUAAAGGGUGCGCAGGCGGGCUCGUCAGUGUCUUGUGAAAUCCCACGGCUCAACCGUGGAACUGCAGGGCAUACUGCGAGCCUUGAGGUAGGUAGGGGCAAUCGGAACUCUAGGUGUAGCGGUGAAAUGCGUAGAUAUCUAGAGGAACGCCAAAGGUGAAGACAGAUUGCUGGGCCUAUCCUGACGCUCAUGCACGAAAGCGUGGGUAGCGAAGAGGAUUAGAUACCCUCGUAGUCCACGCCGUAAACGAUGUGUACUAGAUUUCGGAGGCCUGACGCCAUCGGAGUCGAAGUAAAAACCAUAAGUACACCGCCUGGGGAGUACGGUCGCAAGGCUAAAACUCAAAGGAAUUGACGGGGGAUCACACAAGCGGUGGAGCAUGUGGCUUAAUUCGAGGCAACGCGAAGAACCUUAUCCUGGGUUUGACAUGCAUGGAUUAGCUCCUAGAAACAGGAGUGACACUCUUUGAGUGGAACAUGCACAGGUGCUGCAUGGCUGUCGUCAGCUCGUGCUGUGAAGUGUCGGGUUAAGUCCCUUAACGAGCGAAACCCCUGCUGCUAGUUGCCAGCGAGUAAUGUCGGGGACUCUAGCAGGACUGCCGGUGUUAAACCGGAGGAAGGUGGGGAUGACGUCAAGUCCUCAUGGCCUUUAUGCCCAGGGCUGCACACGUGCUACAAUGGCAUCUACAAAGCGACGCAAUACGGCGACGUGGAGCAAAUCGCAAAAAAGAUGCCUCAGUUCGGAUUGUAGUCUGCAACUCGACUACAUGAAGUUGGAAUCGCUAGUAAUCGCGUAUCAGCAACGACGCGGUGAAUACGUUCCUGAUCCUUGCACACACCGCCCGUC
rnacentral:rRNA from 1 species